rnacentral:rRNA from 1 species
UCGAUUCCCUUAGUAGCGGCGAGCGAAACGGGAAGAGCCCAAACCAACAAGCUUGCUUGUUGGGGUUGUAGGACACUCUAUACGGAGUUACAAAGGACGACAUUAGACGAAUCAUCUGGAAAGAUGAAUCAAAGAAGGUAAUAAUCCUGUAGUCGAAAAUGUUGUCUCUCUUGAGUGGAUCCUGAGUACGACGGAGCACGUGAAAUUCCGUCGGAAUCUGGGAGGACCAUCUCCUAAGGCUAAAUACUCUCUAGUGACCGAUAGUGAACCAGUACCGUGAGGGAAAGGUGAAAAGCACCCCGGAAGGGGAGUGAAAUAGAACCUGAAACCGUGUGCUUACAAGUAGUCAGAGCCCGUUAAUGGGUGAUGGCGUGCCUUUUGUAGAAUGAACCGGCGAGUUACGAUUUGAUGCAAGGUUAAGCAGUAAAUGUGGAGCCGUAGCGAAAGCGAGUCUGAAUAGGGCGUUUAGUAUUUGGUCGUAGACCCGAAACCAGGUGAUCUACCCUUGGUCAGGUUGAAGUUCAGGUAACACUGAAUGGAGGACCGAACCGACUUACGUUGAAAAGUGAGCGGAUGAACUGAGGGUAGCGGAGAAAUUCCAAUCGAACCUGGAGAUAGCUGGUUCUCUCCGAAAUAGCUUUAGGGCUAGCCUCAAGUGAUGAUUAUUGGAGGUAGAGCACUGUUUGGACGAGGGGCCCCUCUCGGGUUACCGAAUUCAGACAAACUCCGAAUGCCAAUUAAUUUAACUUGGGAGUCAGAACAUGGGUGAUAAGGUCCGUGUUCGAAAGGGAAACAGCCCAGACCACCAGCUAAGGUCCCAAAAUAUAUGUUAAGUGGAAAAGGAUGUGGCGUUGCCCAGACAACUAGGAUGUUGGCUUAGAAGCAGCCAUCAUUUAAAGAGUGCGUAAUAGCUCACUAGUCGAGUGACACUGCGCCGAAAAUGUACCGGGGCUAAACAUAUUACCGAAGCUGUGGAUUGUCCUUUGGACAAUGGUAGGAGAGCGUUCUAAGGGCGUUGAAGCAUGAUCGUAAGGACAUGUGGAGCGCUUAGAAGUGAGAAUGCCGGUGUGAGUAGCGAAAGACGGGUGAGAAUCCCGUCCACCGAUUGACUAAGGUUUCCAGAGGAAGGCUCGUCCGCUCUGGGUUAGUCGGGUCCUAAGCUGAGGCCGACAGGCGUAGGCGAUGGAUAACAGGUUGAUAUUCCUGUACCACCUAUAAUCGUUUUAAUCGAUGGGGGGACGCAGUAGGAUAGGCGAAGCGUGCGAUUGGAUUGCACGUCUAAGCAGUAAGGCUGAGUAUUAGGCAAAUCCGGUACUCGUUAAGGCUGAGCUGUGAUGGGGAGAAGACAUUGUGUCUUCGAGUCGUUGAUUUCACACUGCCGAGAAAAGCCUCUAGAUAGAAAAUAGGUGCCCGUACCGCAAACCGACACAGGUAGUCAAGAUGAGAAUUCUAAGGUGAGCGAGCGAACUCUCGUUAAGGAACUCGGCAAAAUGACCCCGUAACUUCGGGAGAAGGGGUGCUCUUUAGGGUUAACGCCCAGAAGAGCCGCAGUGAAUAGGCCCAAGCGACUGUUUAUCAAAAACACAGGUCUCUGCUAAACCGUAAGGUGAUGUAUAGGGGCUGACGCCUGCCCGGUGCUGGAAGGUUAAGAGGAGUGGUUAGCUUCUGCGAAGCUACGAAUCGAAGCCCCAGUAAACGGCGGCCGUAACUAUAACGGUCCUAAGGUAGCGAAAUUCCUUGUCGGGUAAGUUCCGACCCGCACGAAAGGCGUAACGAUUUGGGCACUGUCUCAACGAGAGACUCGGUGAAAUCAUAGUACCUGUGAAGAUGCAGGUUACCCGCGACAGGACGGAAAGACCCCGUGGAGCUUUACUGUAGCCUGAUAUUGAAAUUCGGCACAGCUUGUACAGGAUAGGUAGGAGCCUUUGAAACGUGAGCGCUAGCUUACGUGGAGGCGCUGGUGGGAUACUACCCUAGCUGUGUUGGCUUUCUAACCCGCACCACUUAUCGUGGUGGGAGACAGUGUCAGGCGGGCAGUUUGACUGGGGCGGUCGCCUCCUAAAAGGUAACGGAGGCGCUCAAAGGUUCCCUCAGAAUGGUUGGAAAUCAUUCAUAGAGUGUAAAGGCAUAAGGGAGCUUGACUGCGAGACCUACAAGUCGAGCAGGGUCGAAAGACGGACUUAGUGAUCCGGUGGUUCCGCAUGGAAGGGCCAUCGCUCAACGGAUAAAAGCUACCCCGGGGAUAACAGGCUUAUCUCCCCCAAGAGUUCAUAUCGACGGGGAGGUUUGGCACCUCGAUGUCGGCUCAUCGCAUCCUGGGGCUGUAGUCGGUCCCAAGGGUUGGGCUGUUCGCCCAUUAAAGCGGUACGCGAGCUGGGUUCAGAACGUCGUGAGACAGUUCGGUCCCUAUCCGUCGUGGGCGUAGGAAAUUUGAGAGGAGCUGUCCUUAGUACGAGAGGACCGGGAUGGACAUACCUCUGGUGUACCAGUUGUCGUGCCAACGGCAUAGCUGGGUAGCUAUGUGUGGACGGGAUAAGUGCUGAAAGCAUCUAAGCAUGAAGCCCCCCUCAAGAUGAGAUUUCCCAACUUCGGUUAUAAGAUCCCUCAAAGAUGAUGAGGUUAAUAGGUUCGAGGUGGAAGCAUGGUGACAUGUGGAGCUGACGAAUACUAAUCGAUCGAAGACUUAAUCAA